UACAGAGGUCUCAAGCGUUGUUCGGAUUCAUUGGGCGUAAAGGGUGCGUAGGCGGCGCGGUAAGUCACCUGUGAAAUCUCCUGGCUCAACUGGGAGCUUGCAGGCGAAACUGCCGUGCUGGAGUAUGGGAGAGGUGCGUGGAAUUCCCGGUGUAGCGGUGAAAUGCGUAGAUAGUCAGAAGGAACGCCGGUGGCGAAAGCGACUCUCUGGCCCGUAUCUGAC
rnacentral:rRNA from 1 species